UUCUACAAUUUGUGUUGGAUAUAUGUAUUAUGUUUAUUUUAUUUUUUUAUAUUUGUAUUUUUUUUUUAUUUUAGCAUACUGCCCCUAAUGGUUUUGAUGUUCCAGAAACACCUACCUUUCAAAAUCCAGAUAUUUUAAAUGUGUGUUUAUAAUGGUUUACAUAAAUAUUUUUGUAACAUUAAACUCCUUUUAACAACGUGACUCUGCUCAGUCCUCUUUAGAAUGACAUGCUGGCUUUGAGGAAGUGCUGGUGUAGAAUGUUACUUGAGAACUCCAGCCCCAAGGGGUUUAGACUUUAUUAAGCCAUUAAUGAGAAGACAGAGUAAAGACUUGCACUACAUCUGAAAUGAAAAAUGAAUGUCUUGCUAUUCUGUUCCAUAGCACUGCAUUCUGCAGGUUUGAGAUCUUUACAUUUAGAAGAAACGUCAGCCUCCCUUCUCCAAUAUCCAGCACAGGGCACUGAUGAGCAGCAACACAGAAACCUUCAGCAUCUUACCGAGGCAGAGAAGUGGUGCGCUGAGAACAUUUCUGUGUUCAGGGGGCACAUCUCACUCCCUGCAUUACUGUCAAUGGACAAAGACGACAUUGAGGAGGCCCUUCAGAAAUUUCAGUUGCUAUCUGAGUUUCCAGAAGAAGACGAGAGGUCUUUAGACCCUUCAUCAUCCUUUUUUCAGAUAUGGAAGACAUGCAUCUGUUUUUAGAUAACGUGAGAGGAAAAAGUAAAAUGACU